rnacentral:sRNA from 1 species
GCACUACCAUCUAGGCCUGCGCCGACGCCGGAAACGCUGCCGCUCCGUCUCCGGCGCCACCUUUGUCCAGCCUCCUUGCCUCACCUAGCCACGCAUAGGCCACCACGGCGACGAGGGAGCUCAGCCGCAUUGCUCAGCGCUGGUGAUAGCCACCCCGCACACGCCUGGCCGUACGCGUGCUGCCGGCCGCCGCAGCGCCUCCACCACGGUGCUGGCCUCCGCAGCCGCCAGCCUCCGCCGUCGCCGGCCAGCCACCUCCGCACGAGCUCCGCCGCUGCACAGCGGAAGCCACCUCCGCGCGCCUCCGUCGGCCGCCGUCGCCGCGAGCUGCCACCACCUCCCCUCGCCGGCCGCAGCCGACGCGCUGCCCGCCUCCACUGGCAGCCGGACGCAGAGCACCGUCAUCGGCCACAUCCGCGCCCGGGGGGGUCGGAUCCGUCUCCGGCGUGCCCGGAUCCGUCGCAGCCACCUCCAUCGACCGCCGCCUCCGUCGACCACCGCCCCGUCGACGCUGCUCCGCCUCCAACGCCGAGGAAGGGCUCCCCGAGGAUGUUCUCCCCGCCGCCGCCUUCCCGGCCGGCCGCGCGGUUUCCGGCGGCUGGCUCCGGCGGCGGCGAGGCGGCUAGAGGCCGGCGAGGUGGCGGCGCGGGCGGCUAGGGUUUUCUCCCCCGAGCCGCCCGCGUGAGGGCGACGUGAGGGUCACCAUCGAUCAUCAUCACACAACUUUAGUACCAUAUAUGUGCUGAAUGAAAGCAGGAUAGAAAUAAAUUGGCAUUUUUGUUAUC